rnacentral:lncRNA from 1 species
CCGGGUAGCGGCGCCGCUCCGGUGGGUGUGAACUAGUGGGGGCAUCAUUUCCUGACACUUCCAGGUGGGCCGGGGCCCCUGCCUGUGCCCAGCCAGCCCCAAGGUGACUUCCAAGGAAGGACAAGGUGGGUCAGGGAAGGCUGGCGGGGAGGGGCUUGUAACCUCUGCGGAGGGGAGAGAAUGGGGGUGGAGGAGGUGGGUGGGGGGAAAUGUGGUCAAAAUGAGACUUACCUAAGUUAAACCUUGUUUUCCUCUUGAGUCACAGGAUCCUCUCGGAUCCUUUACUGUAAGUUCUCACCUGCAGUUAGCAGAGACUGCUCAAUACUUGAGUUUUGAGUCUUCUUUUUUUUCGUGCCACGUGCUGCUGGUGGGGGAGGGGUUGGAGUGGGGGUGGGGUUAGAGGUGGGAGGGGCCGCUUCAGGCCACCUGGGGCUCUUAGGGCGUGUCAAGGACCUUCGGGUAUCUUUCUACGUAGCUGGAAAGAAGGAAUGGAGGAGAGAGGACAGAGAUAGAGAGGGCGGCAGGCAGGAAGGACGAUGGAAAGAUGGAUGUGAAUAUGGAUAAUCUGUUCUGAUGACUUUCUUUUUCUCCUUUAAGCAGCUGUGUCCAAAGUGUAGUCUCGUUAAGCUGAUUCGAAGUGGGGAGGAGGACAUGCUGAUGUGACCCCAAGUUUACCUUUUUUUUUUUGUCUUUUUGUUUUUUUAGGGCCGUACCCAGUGCAUAUGGAGGUUCCCAGUGGGUUAAGGAUCCGGCGUUGCCAUGAGCUGGGGCUUGGAUCCCGAGUUGCUGUGGCUGUGGUGUAGGCCGAUGGCUACAGCUCCGAUUCAACCCCUAGCCUGAGAACCUCCAUAUGCCACAGGAGCGGCCCUUGAAAAGGCAAAAAGACAGAAAAAAAAAAAAAAAAGAAUCCAGCAUUGUUGUGAGUUGUGGUGUAGGUUGCAGACACUGCUUGGAUCUGAUGUUGCUGUAGCUGUGGUGUAGGCUGGCAGCUACAGCUCCGAUUAGACGCCUAGCCUGGGACCCUCCAUAUGCUAUGAGAGCGGCCCUAAAAGCAAAAAAAAAAAAAAAAAAAAAAAAAAAAAAAAUCUGGAUAAGGAGUUCCCAGUGUGGCUGAAUGAGGAUGCAGGUUUGAUCUUUGUCCUCACUCAGUGGGUUAAGAAUCCGGCAUUGCUGUGAAGUGUAGUGUAAGUUGCAGAUGAGGCUUGGAUCCUGCGUUGCUGUGGCUGUGGUUGUGGCUCAGGCCCCAGUUGCAGCUCUGAUUGGACCCCUAGCAUAGGAACUUCCACAUGCCACAGGUUUGAUGCUUAAA